UCGCCCUUCGAUAACGAACGAGACCUUAACCUGCUAAAUAGCCCGUACUGCUCUGGCAGUUCGCCGGCUUCUUAGAGGGACUAUCGGCUCAAGCCGAUGGAAGUUUGAGGCAAUAACAGGUCUGUGAUGCCCUUAGAUGUCCUGGGCCGCACGCGCGUUACACUGACAGGGCCAGCGAGUACCUCCUUGGCCGAAAGGCCCGGGUAAUCUUGUUAAACCCUGUCGUGCUGGGGAUAGAGCAUUGCAAUUAUUGCUCUUCAACGAGGAAUCCCUAGUAAGCGCAAGUCAUCAGCUUGCGUUGAUUACGUCCCUGCCCUUUGUACACACCGCCCGUCGCUACUACCGAUUGAAUGGCUAAGGGC
rnacentral:rRNA from 1 species